UACGGAGGGGGCUAGCGUUGUUCGGAAUUACUGGGCGUAAAGCGCACGUAGGCGGCUUUGUAAGUUAGAGGUGAAAGCCCGGGGCUCAACUCCGGAAUUGCCUUUAAGACUGCAUUGCUAGAAUUGUGGAGAGGUAAGUGGAAUUCCGAGUGUAGAGGUGAAAUUCGUAGAUAUUCGGAAGAACACCAGUGGCGAAGGCGGCUAACUUGACUGCACAUUAGUGACGCUGAGGUGCGAAAAGCGUGGGGAGCAAACAGG
rnacentral:rRNA from 1 species